rnacentral:misc_RNA from 1 species
UGUUUAAAUGUAUUGCUUGGGACUCCGUCUGCAGAAAAUGGUGAUUCAGAUGAUGACUUGAAAUGGAAGUGGAUAGAAACUUUUCUUUUGAAGAGGUUCGGGUGGCAGUGGAAGGAUGAAAGUCGGGAGGAUCUGAGAAAAUUUGCCAUUCUUCGAGGUCUUUGUCAUAAGGUAGGACUUGAGCUUGUUCCCAAAGACUAUGAUAUAGACUCUCCAUUUCCUUUCAAGAAGUCGGAUAUCAUAAGCAUGGUCCCCGUGUACAAGCAUGUUGCAUG